rnacentral:rRNA from 1 species
GGGCCCGCACAAGCGGUGGAGCAUGUGGUUUAAUUCGAUGAUACGCGAGGAACCUUACCAGGGCUUAAAUGUAGUGGGACAGGUCUAGAGAUAGACCCUUCUUCGGACUCAUUACAAGGUGCUGCAUGGUUGUCGUCAGCUCGUGCCGUGAGGUGUCAGGUUAAGUCCUAUAACGAGCGCAACCCCUAUCGUUAGUUGCCAGCGAGUAAUGUCGGGAACUCUAACGAAACUGCCAGUGCAAACUGUGAGGAAGGUGGGGACGACGUCAAGUCAUCACGGCCCUUACAUCCUGGCCACACACGUGCUACAAUGGUAGUGACAGAGGCAGCCACUGGGUGACCAGGAGCG